rnacentral:rRNA from 1 species
AGAGUUUGAUCCUGGCUCAGAACGAACGCUGGCGGCAGGCCUAACACAUGCAAGUCGAACGUGAAGCCUUCCUUCGGGAAGGUGGAAAGUGGCAGACGGGUGAGUAACGCGUGGGAAUUUGCCCAGUGGUACGGAAUAGCUCCGGGAAACUGGAAUUAAUGCCGUAUACGCCCUCCGGGGGAAAGAUUUAUCGCCAUUGGAUGAGCCCGCGUCGGAUUAGCUUGUUGGUGGGGUAAAAGCCUACCAAGGCGACGAUCCGUAGCUGGUCUGAGAGGAUGAUCAGCCACACUGGGACUGAGACACGGCCCAGACUCCUACGGGAGGCAGCAGUGGGGAAUAUUGCACAAUGGGCGCAAGCCUGAUGCAGCCAUGCCGCGUGAGUGAAGAAGGCCCUAGGGUUGUAAAGCUCUUUCAGCGGGGAAGAUAAUGACGGUACCCGCAGAAGAAGCCCCGGCCAACUCCGUGCCAGCAGCCGCGGUAAUACGGAGGGGGCUAGCGUUGUUCGGAAUUACUGGGCGUAAAGCGCGCGUAGGCGGGCUGGCCAGUUGGGGGUGAAAUCCCGAGGCUCAACCUCGGAACUGCCCUCAAUACUGUCAGCCUCGAGUCCGGGAGAGGUGAGUGGAAUUCCUAGUGUAGAGGUGAAAUUCGUAGAUAUUAGGAAGAACACCAGUGGCGAAAGCGGCUCACUGGCCCGGUACUGACGCUGAAGCGCGAAAGCGUGGGGAGCAAACAGGA